ensembl:lncRNA
UACCAUAGGACCUGGUCUAAUGUACUGACAGUCCAUUGGUCUCCUCUCCAUCACCGAGCUCUCACUGAAAGCUGACAGUCCAUUGGUCCCCUCUCCAUCACCGAGCUCUCACUGAAAGCUGACAGUCCAUUGGUCCCCUCACCAUCACCGAGCUCUCACUGAAAGCUGACAGUCCAUUGGUCCCCUCACCAUCACCGAGCUCUCACUGAAAGCUGACAGUCCAUUGGUCUCCUCUCCAUCACCGAGCUCUCACUGAAAGCUGACAGUCCAUUGGUCUCCUCUCCAUCACAGAGCUCUCACUGAAAGCUGAUGGGUACAUUUUUUUACAUUUCAUUACAUUUUUUAAAUAGAUACAUUUUUUAACAUAAAGGUGUCAUAUUUUUAGUUUUUAUUUAAAUUCCCUCGUUUUUCAGAAAUCCUGGUCCUAGGGUUCUGAGUUCCCUGCUUAUUCAGGAAAUCCUGCAUCUGGGAUUUCUGUAAAACCAGGGAAUUCAUUGAAAGUUCACAGAAUUUUUCAACCCUGGUCACCUGACCAUCUUUCCUCUGUAAAUUAAUGUUAGAAGACUAGUCGUCUAAGUUGACCCAGUUCUUACAGGGCUGGUUUCCCGGACCCAGAUGAAACACACUCAUGGACCCAGAUGAAACACACUCAUGGACUAAAACACUCUGUCAUUGAGAAUCUCCAUUGAAAGAGCUUCUUAGUCCAGGGGCUGUUAUGUAUCAUGUGUCUCAGAGGAGGAGUGCUGAUCUAGGAUCAGGUUCCCCCUGUCCAUAUAAUUAUAUUUGUUAUAAUCUUAAAGACAAAACUGGUCCUAGAUCAGCUCUGAGACCAUUGAUGCGGCCCCAGGAAUGUAGGCCUGAUCUGAGUGCAGGACUCUCGUAUACUGUCCGAUAAUGGAGGUAUACUGUAAUAUACCUUUUUUGUUUUGUAGAACAGAGUAACCCCCAAAAAAAACUGAUCCUUGAAAUAAAGUGAUUUUUUUUUGUGUGUGUUUUUAUAUUCUCAUUCUCCCUCCACUUUCUUUUCAAAGUAACUCACUAGCUCGGUUUCCGUCUAACUGACGGGAGAUUUUCAAUGCGAAUAUUGUAAAAUCUGCAUAAAAACAAUAUGCAAAUUUUCCCACGAGAGAGAGAGAUGUGUUUCCAUCAAACUGACUUGUAGCAGAUAAAAGGCUGUGAGUGAUGACAUGGUGCAUAUAAAAUACAUUGUUUUCAGGGUUAAAUUCCCACGUAACGACAAUCAGUUCCCGUUGCAUUUUCAGCUCUUGAUAGUUGUCUCACAAAACAUGUUGCGUUGUAUAGCGAGCGAUGAGAUUAUGUACUAAAGAGAGGAAUCAUUUUUAUUUGUCAAAGGGCAAUCCAGCAUCAAUCAUCGUGUCACCGGAAUAAGAUCCUCAAAAUGUAUUGAAAAUGAGCAUCAAGAUCACCGUGCUCUUUCACCACCCUGAGAAGUUCAUGAUUUCUACGUAUUUCAUCUGUAGCCUAAUAAACUGCUUGCUUUCCCGACGAGUCGUAGGGGAGGACCACACACCACGUAACUCAACGGUUACUUCCACUAUGAUGAUUAUUAUAUCAAUAUCUGUGCAUAAAAUCCCACCUUGUCCAGCGUAUUUUGUUUUUGUCGACAUUUGGAAAGUUUACCGAAAACAAAUGGUUGUUUCCGUCAGGCCUGUCAUGACAUUUUUACUUAACUCAAGAUUUUUUUUAAAAUCCAAAGUUGGGUGUAAACCUGGUUACAAAUACCUAUUACAAUUACAUUUAGCCAUUACUGCAGUGUAACACCAGGUGGCGCUGUAUUGCACUGUAAACCCAGCCAGUAGCACAGAGGUGACCAAAUCCUCUUCAUAUAGAGAGCUACCGACAGAGCAGGCUUUUGCUCCAGACCUAUUUUUAUUUAUUUACCCCAUUUUCUUUGGUAGUUACUGUCUUGUCCCAUCGAUUGGCACUCCCGAACGACGACGGUCGAGAGCCGUGCGUCCUCCGAAACAACCCGGCCAAGCCGCACUGUUUCUUGACACGCUGCCCGCUGAACCCGGAAGCCAGCCGCACCAAUGACUCGGAGGAAACGCCGUAACCUGGCAACCGUGUCAGCGUGCACUGCGCCCGGCCCGCCACAGGAGUCGCUAGAGCGCGAUUGGACAAGAACAUCCCUGCCGGACAAAACCCCUCCCAUAACCCGGACGACUCUGGGCCAGUUGUGCGCCGCCCCGUGGGUCUCCCGGUCGCGGCCGGCUGCUCAAGACCCGAACCAGGAUCUUUAGUGGCACAGCUAGAGAUCACUGUACCACUCGGGAGGCCCUGCUCCAGACCUAUUUUUACACAACACACCUGGUUCAGCUAAUCAAGGUUCUGAGUAUCAGCUGAUUAGUGAAAUCAGGUGUCACAGUAAGGCUGGAAUAAAACCUUGCUAUUGGUGUAUAGCUCUGGCCACUCCCACUCCUGGGUCCAGUUCAUUAGGGGCACACCGUAGCAAAACAUUUUGCAAUGGGGAGAAGGAGUAUUAUUGAGCUAGUGCAGGUAGUCCCUCCCUGUUUUUGUACCUGUUUAUUUACCGGAGUAACUAUUCACUGCACAACAACUAAAGAUGGCCAAGUUCAGUCCAUCAGCCAUCGGUCUCUUCAUAUCUCUCCUUAAUGAGCAGGUCAGGAUCAUUGAAGCAUUGGCCCAUAGUCUGGACACUCACCAUCUCAGGGGUGUUAGAAUGCUUCCCUAAUGGCCUCCUAUUCACUAUAUAGUACACUACUAUAGACCAGAGCCCUAUCCCCUAUAUAGUGCACUACUU